AGAGUUUGAUCCUGGCUCAGGACGAACGCUGGCGGCGUGUCUAAUACAUGCAAGUCGAACGCACUCUCGUUUAGAUUGAAGGAGCUUGCUCCUGAUUGAUAAACAUUUGAGUGAGUGGCGGACGGGUGAGUAACACGUGGGUAACCUGCCCUAAAGUGGGGGAUAACAUUUGGAAACAGAUGCUAAUACCGCAUAAAACCUAACACCGCAUGGUGUAGGGUUGAAAGAUGGUUUCGGCUAUCACUUUAGGAUGGACCCGCGGUGCAUUAGUUAGUUGGUGAGGUAAAGGCUCACCAAGACCGUGAUGCAUAGCCGACCUGAGAGGGUAAUCGGCCACACUGGGACUGAGACACGGCCCAGACUCCUACGGGAGGCAGCAGUAGGGAAUCUUCCACAAUGGACGAAAGUCUGAUGGAGCAACGCCGCGUGAGUGAAGAAGGUUUUCGGAUCGUAAAACUCUGUUGUUGGAGAAGAAUGUAUCUGAUAGUAACUGAUCAGGUAGUGACGGUAUCCAACCAGAAAGCCACGGCUAACUACGUGCCAGCAGCCGCGGUAAUACGUAGGUGGCAAGCGUUGUCCGGAUUUAUUGGGCGUAAAGCGAGCGCAGGCGGUUUCUUAAGUCUGAUGUGAAAGCCUUCGGCUCAACCGAAGAAGUGCAUCGGAAACUGGGAAACUUGAGUGCAGAAGAGGACAGUGGAACUCCAUGUGUAGCGGUGAAAUGCGUAGAUAUAUGGAAGAACACCAGUGGCGAAGGCGGCUGUCUGGUCUGUAACUGACGCUGAGGCUCGAAAGCAUGGGUAGCAAACAGGAUUAGAUACCCUGGUAGUCCAUGCCGUAAACGAUGAGUGCUAGGUGUUGGAGGGUUCCGCCCUUCAGUGCCGCAGCUAACGCAUUAAGCACUCCG
rnacentral:rRNA from 1 species